rnacentral:rRNA from 1 species
UGCCUACGGGGGGCAGCAGUGGGGGAUAUUGCACAAUGGGGGGAACCCUGAUGCAGCGACGCCGCGUGAGGGAAGACGGUUUUCGGAUUGUAAACCUCUGUCUUUAGGGACGAAACAAAUGACGGUACCUAAAGAGGAAGCCACGGCUAACUACGUGCCAGCAGCCGCGGUAAUACGUAGGUGGCAAGCGUUGUCCGGAAUUACUGGGUGUAAAGGGAGCGUAGGCGGGAAUGCAAGUUGAAUGUUUAAACUAUGGGCUCAACCCAUAGUCGCGUUCAAAACUGCAUUUCUUGAGUGGAGUAGAG